rnacentral:rRNA from 1 species
UACGUAGGGUGCAAGCGUUAAUCGGAAUUACUGGGCGUAAAGGGUGCGCAGGCGGAUAUUCAAGUUAGAUGUGAAAUCCCCGGGCUUAACCUGGGAAUGGCAUUUAAGACUGAAUGUCUAGAGUUAUGUAGAGGCGGGUAGAAUUCCAAGUGUAGCAGUGAAAUGCGUAGAGAUUUGGAGGAACACCGAUGGCGAAGGCAGCCCCCUGGGUCAAGAUUGACGCUCAUGCACGAAAGCGUGGGGAGCAAACAGG